ACUUGAAUAGUUUAAUAAAAACUUUGAUUUGUGGGGUCAAUGAUGCAUUAAUAGUGUUUUAGGUA
rnacentral:tRNA from 1 species